rnacentral:lncRNA from 1 species
UAUGGGGGUGUGCGUGGUUGCGUGUGUGGGGGUGGGGGUGUUCGCCGGUGCAAGGACGCCGGCCGGCCGCUCAUAACUCCGGUCGCCGGAGUUCAGUUCGAGAGGCAGAGGGAAAUGGGGCCUGGUGGACUACACGAGCUCUUAAAUGGAGUUGGUACAAUUAUUGUUGUAACAUUCACAGGGGAUGGUUCAUGUGUUCACCAUUCAUGUUUGCUUAAAGAAAUGUGAAAAAGAUUAUGGAUCAUGAAACAACAAUCAGAGGAAUGGUCUUUGACGUUUUGACAUGGAGAAAAGGGAAUGGAGUGUUUUGAAAGAAAAGCCUUAGGCUUGUACAAUCAGCAUUCAUUAUUAUGAUUAUUAUUUAUUUACUUAUAUGUCUACAUGUAUAUAUAUUUUUAUAAACUUUUUAUGCUAUGAUAUAUGGAUAUAAAUGUAUCCACGAGAUGUUUACUACCACAUAGUUUGUUUUUUUUUUCUUUUUCUAGAUACUAGUUUCUCCAUAUAUACAUAGAGUUAUAGUAAGUGGGUUGAACCCAAGGCCCGUUAGCGUAUUUUGAGCGGCCCAAAUCGU